rnacentral:lncRNA from 1 species
CUACUUAUCUUAUUAGUUUUUUUUACAGUUAUGUGUUUAAACUGAGUAAACAGGUUUGGAAAGAACAAUACCAACUUCUACCGGAACAUGGAAGCACCGCUCCACUUGACUCUCCUACUUUAAGGUAAAAAUAUCUUAUCAUUCUAUUAAUUUUUAAAUUUAAUAUUUGAUAUAACCACCAAAAUAGAGAAAAAGAAGGGUGGAUGUAAGAGAGUUAUUGGAUUUUGAAUUUGGAAGUUAGAGAUUUGGAGAGAGAUGGAAGGGAGGGCUAGGUCUAGGUCAUAGAUUAUUUUUUAUAGGUUCUAAAUAUAAAUUUAUAAGUAUUAUAUAUAUUUAUAUUUAUAUUUAUUAUAAAUAUCUAAAUAUAUGUAUUUAUAUUUAAGAGUAGCGUAAAUUAUAAUCAAUAAAAAUUAAAUUAAUAGUACAAAAUAGUCCAUCAGUGCACAUUAGUUGUUGAUCCAAAAAGCAACUGCAUAAAAUAAUAGUUUUUUCAAGUAUUCAAAAAAGGGAAAAAGCAAUUUUACCCCACUGUGGUUGUAGUGUUUUAAGCAAUUACCCACUGUACUUUUAAAAUAUUCAAUUAGCCCACUGUACUUUUUAAAAAUGUUCAAUCAAGCAAUUUCGUCCAAUUUCUUGGACGGACGUCAAAUAAUUACACACGUGGCAUUGAAAAAAAUUUCAAAAAAUCAAUAUUUUCUGAUGUGGCAACACAAAAAAAUAAUAAAAUAAAAUCAUUGAUAAAAUAAAAAUUUUAAUUCAUUUUUUAAUAAUUUUUUCAUUUCCUAUUUUCUUUCUCCUUCAAAANNNNNNNNNNNNNNNNNNNNNNNNNNNNNNNNNNNNNNNNNNNNNNNNNNNNNNNNNNNNNNNNNNNNNNNNNNNNNNNNNNNNNNNNNNNNNNNNNNNNUAUAUAUGUUUUUAUAUACAAUAAUAGAGCACUCUGACUACUAAUUAAGAGUAGCAUAAAUUAUAAACAAUAAAAAUCAAAUUAAUAGUACAAAAAAGUCCAUCAGUGCAUAAUAGUUGUUGAUCCAAAAAGCAACAACAUAAAAUAACAGUUUUUUCACCCUUGGCUAAAGAGAACCCAUGGUCAUGAUCAUACCAACAACUGUCGCUGAGACUCAGCUCAAUAAAUAAUCCACAUCACUUGUAACAUUACAGGUCAUGAUUAUACCGAAUAAUCUCUGGUCAUAAUCAUACCAAUCAACAGUCCAUCUAUGCACUACGGGCCAAAGAUAACUUUCAUUACAAUAUAAACAUGAGGAUGAUGACAAUGAUAUAAAAAUUCAAUCAAACGAGAUCUAGGAUAAAUAUUAAAGACUUUAAAUUUAUCCAGAGUUUAAAAAUGUCCAAAUUGUCAACACGAUACUGCUUUGUGGAGUAAAAUUUAAGAAUAAUAUUCACGUAUCAAAAAUAAUUUGGGCAGAAAAGAAUCAAUUUUUCAUCGUGAAUAGUACUCCGGGUGAAUAGUAUUUGAGUGAAUAGUACUUCGUAUAUAGUACCCCGUGAAUAGUAUUUCAUGAAUAGUACCUCGUGAAUAGUACCCGUGUAAAUAGUCCCCCGAAUGAAUAGUACUCUGAGUGAAUAGUACCCGAGUGAAUAGUACGCUGACAUAAAUAGUAUCCCGUUAUUUAAUAAGAAAGUUUAGACCAAUAGUGAAAAUACUAGAUGAAGCACAAACUAUUAUGAAUAUUCCUCUAAUUUCAAGGGUUUUCACCAUUUAAUAAUAAGGUUAUGGAAACAAACAAUAAAUUUGUACCAUAAAUGGAGAAAUACGAAAGAAGACGAUAUCUCUUGAUGAGUACAAAAGAAAUGACAUCUCAUACGAGUAUAAAAGAAUAUACAAAACUGCAAAUGGAUUUUCACCCGUCAUGCGGUAAUUCAUGUAGACAAACUAUUUUUAUAAUUUAAUAAAGAAUGACUACGAAGGGUCAUUCACCAUGCAUGCAGUAGUCCGCGUAGACAGGUUACUCCCGCAGAUUAAUAAAGAAUGAAUACGAAGGGUCAUUCACCAUGCAUGCGGUAGUCCGCGCAGACAGGUUACUCCCGCAGAUUAAUAAAGAAUGAAUAGGAAGGGUCAUUCACCAUGCAUACGGUAGUCUGCGUAGACAUGUUACUCCCGCAGAUUAGUAAAGAAUAUAAUGACAACCCUUAUGAGUAUUGAAAAAAAAUAACAUUCUUUACGAAUACGAAAGAAUAAUACCCCUUACCUUAAUAGAAGACUGGAUACUGCAAUAGUGAAGUAGCAAAAUACUCUUCUUCUUUCUCUCUAUAGUUGCUCUUGUGAGUCUUAGUGAAUUGGUGAGAAUGAAAGAAGAAAUGAGCUUCUAUUUAUAGGAAAACAUAGUUUCGAUAAUUACACGUUUAGGGGCUCGAAUUAUUAUAAUUUAGUACCUUCAUCUUUGCCUCUAUUUUUAAUUUAGUCCUUCAAGUAUUAUCAAUCUUGCACAACCUCCCCUAAUAGUACAUGCAUGUGAACCAAUAGUUAUUUACAUGUGAACUAAUAGCAAUUAAUUGUUCAUUUAUCCGAUUAAUUACCCAUUUGGUCAAUUUAACAUCCAGAAAUCAACUGUUAUCAAAAUAAAUGUCGAUUUCCACUAACACUAAUAAUUCCAACACAAUGAAAAUAUUUUUAACAACAUUUAUUCAUCAAUAAUAUAACUUACAAUAUUAACAACCAAAUCAUUCUCAGAAAAGAGGGAGCUUUUCGAUAAGGAUUUCUCCCUAUUGGCGCACAAUUAGGUGACCAAAUCCCUUUUCCUCGACAGAACUUUCUAGACAUUGUCAAUAAUGCAAAUAAUAAUAUGAAUAACUUUGUCGUCUCAAUUAUUGAUUUAAUAAUAUAAAAUAUUAUGCAAAUAAAACUGUGACAAUAAUUGAAUAAAUAAUGUGAGAUACUAUGCAGCAGUUACUGUAGCAAUAAUUGAGUAUAACUGAGUGACUUCUCACGUAAGCAUCAAUAGUCAAAGAUACUAUACAAUACCGUGUGCUACUAUGCAACCACGCGUAUUACUGUAUUUUUACCACCGGGUAUUUCAACAGCUUAACGGUAAAACUUUUACCAUUAUUUCUAUCAUUUUCUAACUCCGACAGUAAUUUCGUUGUGGGAUCCACCAAUGAUUCUGUCGUCGUACGAAUAUUCCCUGAUAAAACGAAUAUUUCCCGAGCAAACGAAUAUUUUAUGACAACUUGCUUACUUUGCAAAAUUUAUAAAUAUUACCCACAACUAUAACAUUAUAUCAAAUCUACACCAUAAUAAAAAAAUAUUUUGAGAAAAUUAAAUCUUUAUUCAUAAAAGUUGGGGUCUUACAACCUCCCCUUCUUAUGAAAUUUCGUCCUUGAAAUUGGUGUACAUACCUGGUAUGUCGAAGAGGUGAGGGUACCUCGUUUUCAUUUCAGAUUCAAACUCUUGAGGUAUAACCUUUUGAGCGUAGAAUAUAUUCCUUCUUAUCCAAGAUUUUAACAAGUAUCUCUUCAUAUGUUAAAUCUUCCGGUAUCUCAUUUGGUUAUAAUUCAAUAAUGUGGUUUGGGUCGUCCACAUAUUUACGUAACAUUGAUACGUAAAAAAUGUUAUGAACACGCGACAUACUUAGCAGUAAGGCGAGUCUAUAGGCCAUAGUUCCUACUCGAUCGAGGAUUUCAAAUGGGCCAAUUAAAUUGAGGGUUGAGAUUUCCUCUCUUCGUUGAUUCUUGCUUCUAGAAUAACGCCUUCUUGCACUUUCUUCUUCACAUUCAUCAACUUUGAGUCUGUAGCUUGAGCGGUUUUAACUUUAUCGAUUAAAGUCGGUUCUAAUAGUAUAUUCGCUAUCAUUACGUAGGUUCUUGGAGUCUUUAACUCUAUUUCCAUCUUUUGUAAGUCGUACGAAAUGGGUCUUUGUGUUAACAACAUCGCACUCGUAAACGCAUACGAUCUUCUACUCAACGUGUCAGCUACCACGUUCGCUUUUUUAGGAUGGUAUUGAAUGGUAUAGUCGUAAUAUUUCAAAAACUUGAGCCAACGUCUUUGGCGCAUGUUACGUUUGUUUUGGGUGAAGAAAUAUUUGAGGGUUUUGUAUCGGGUUCACGGUCGAUACAAAAUUCGAUUUCACGCUCUCAGGGUAGGCUAGGAAGUUCUUCGGGAAAUACAUCAAGAAAUUUAUUAAUGAUAGAAAUAUCAUUCAAAACUGUGACUCUCAUCCAAGACUUGGAUAGCACCUGACAUUGAUACUUAUCAACUUGCCACCGUUAUUCACGGCGUCCUCUAUAGAAAGUUUGGCUUCGGUGCAUUCCACAUAAGGAAGUCACCAGAUAAAGGUUCAGGGCUCUUUACUUAUGGCUUGAUAUGACAGUGAUUAACUUUAGUGGUUUGGUUACUUAAAUUCGCAUAACAGGUUGGUUAGGAAUUUGAAAGCUAACAACCUUACGAAAAUAAUCAAUUUUAGCAUGAUGAGUAGUUAAACAGUUGAUUCCUAAAAUCACAUCAAAUGCAAGUAUUUUCAAAGAGAUACGAUCAACAGGUAACGUGAGGGUGCCGAUUUGAAUCAAACAAGACUUAUAAACAGUGGAGGUAACGAAGGUUUCUCAUAACGGAGUUUCAACAGAUAAGUCAAAGUCUAAUUUCUUCGGAGUUAACUUAAACGUUUAGCGCAAGUAGGAGAAAUAAAAGAGUGGGUAGAACCGGUAUCAAAUAAGGUAUAGAUUUCACAAGAGUUUAUGAUUAACUUACCCGUGAUAACUUCAUUCAGAUUCCUCGACAAAUGCACUCACUUAAACUAUCGCACAACUUUGACUUGUCUAGGACAGCCUUUGGUGUCACCAUCCCAGCUGGACUUGACUUCACUACACGACAAAAUCGGGCUAGGUGAACUUCUCUUUCACAAUUAAAACACGCUUUGGGUUGCUGCGUACAGUUUGGACGAAUGUGUCCCUCCUCUCCGCAUCUGUAGCAUACGACCAGUGGAUCCUAUCCAUCACCUCCAACUCUAACUGAGUAAGGAGAGCUUCCUUCUCUGUCCUUUCGCUCAACUCUCUCUGCUCCAUCUCUUCCAACUUCCCUGCCAGCUCUACAUUCCUAGCCACCGACUUAUGAAACAAAGUCCCCAUCUGGAUCCCUACCUCCUUACGGUGAACAAUCUACACCUCCAUUUCCUGCAUCACUAACUUUCUCUGAUGGUCCUCGUCCCUCAGUUUCUGGAACUCAGACUCUCUUUCCCUAGCCUCAGCCUCUAACUCCUCAACUCUGCAUCCUAACUCCAACAUUUGCUCCUCAUACUCCCCCAUCAUCUGAUCCUCGAAAGUAGCCUCGUCAGAGCCUCCUCUGGAUCAGACUCCUCGGGUAAUGGCUUUAUCUCCUCCUCCUCGUCAUCAUCAUCGAUAGGGGCCACUGCCAAUAUAGGCUCCGCUAUCAAUGGCGCCUUAAAUACCAUGUGUAUGUCACGUGGCUCCUCCCCUACUACUCGGCUUGGUCCUCCCAUGUCAGUCAUCCUAUAACCACCAACAUAAGACAAAAUAAACAACUCCUCCAUUAGAAUGUUAAAUAAACAUAAGUUCAUCGUACCUAAUGAAGUUAUAUUCCAUAACACACUAAGUCCCUCUCUAGGAAAACUCUAUAUGAGUUUCAUCCCUCUCUAUCUUCUAAGUUCUCCUAAGUUAUAAUCUAAGGACUCUCGUUCCUAAGGUUUAUAACUACAACUCUGAUACCAACCUGUGACGCCCCCAAAUUCAGACCACACUUGUCUCAAAUUUGGUUGUCACGUGCUAGCUCUAAUAACAAAUCAAAAUCUCACACAACGAAAUAAUAGAAUAAAUUACAUUGUUAUAACAUAAUUAUUUUUGUCCCAAAGUCUCGCAACCAUUACUACUACAAUACAACUUAAAUUAAACAUAGCUUAAUAUAAAUAAGUUCUUCUACAACAGAAUAAUAGUACAUUCCUAGUAUUAUGAAACUAACUACUCCAAAGCCUUUUCUUUACCCUUGUCCUUGCCAGAGGUUUCACCACGUUCUGCCUUAACUGAAAGUUUUAAGGAAAGCAAGGAUGAGCAACAAUUUUGCCCAGCAAGUAAUAUAGCAAUAAGGGUGUUCAAUGUAGUUUUAUAUUUCUCAAGGGUACAACAAUAAUAAUAGUUCAAAGAUAGAAAGAAGUAUAAAUGAUUAUCAACAAUAGUCGCUAUGGAUAGAAAUUAUCAAUAAUAUUCAACGAUUAAUCAAUUCAAGAUUUCAAAGUAAUGAAUACUGAGCAGUCACUAAGGACUAUGAACUUCUCCUAGAAUUAACAGUAAUAAACUGACAAUUCUACAAAACGAGUAUAGCAGGUGAUCAGCCUAAAGUACCCUAUGUCAUGCAUAACAUUUAAUCUUUUCAUGUGCGCACGUCGGUUUCCCGACAAUUAUAUAAUUCCCUUACCAAGAGUGUUGUUCAUCUCAGUUAUAAGAGUCCGCACCAAGUUAAUUUGGUUUGGAUAGCUUUUGAUCAAAUAUCAAUAGUCUAACCGAAGCAAAGGCUUAGACAUCUUUUUUUUUUCAAGCAUAUACAUGAACAAUUAUCGUUCGAAAUCAAGGUUUGAAAAUAAUUUCAUUUCUAAACUACAAAGUAUUAAGUCAUGAUAUAUGAAUUAUACUUUCAAAGAUUUACUUGUACGAUCAAUAAUAACACAAGUUCAAAUAAUGAUCAAUAAAGAGUAGGGUUUGAGUACUUACAUUCAAUAUAUGAAUCAAAUAAAAUGUGAGAACUUGCACAAAUCCAAAUUUGUGUAAGUUAGGAAAAUUGCUCAAUAAAAUAGAGAGUUCAGAUACUUGCCUUACGCGUGGUUUACCAAAGUAAAGCUUAACACCCUUCCAAAGAAUUAUAAUAUCCUAUUCAUGUAUAAUCACAUUAGUUAUACAAGUUUAAUCUGUACACCUGUUAUCUUAACUUACUAUGAUACACCAUUAUAAUUUAUCGGUGCCAAACAUAUAUUGCUAGUCUUCUCUUAGUCAUAUGAUCUCAUACGUAAAUCAUCACAUAACACUAAAAUCAGUUUCUAAGAUGUUAUGUCAUUUAGAGAACAGAGUUUGUCAUCGCAUUUUGACUUAAGGGUGUAGUUAUAGUAUUCUUCUAUUAUCAUACUUAUUCACACAUUUAUACUAUACUGAACAUGUACUACUGAUUAAAGUAAGAAUAUAGACAUGCAUCAACCCUCAGAUCAACAAUAGAAAUCUGAUCCUACUGCAGACUGGCGCGGCCGCGCUUGGUUUGUACUAAGGAGUGGCGCAACCGUGCUGCUCCUGGUGCAAACCAAGACAUGGCUGCUUCUGCAGAAGGUCAGUGUACACCCGUCUUGCAUAUAGAUGAAUAAUCAUGCAAAAUACACAUGUUAGUAUGUGAAUUGCUAAGUUUGACCUUAUAUCCUAACAUUAACAUAGGUAUCAUCUAUUCUCAUUUAAUCAAGACUUUAAGUGUUCAAUUCAUAAUUUUCUUACGUUUGAUCGUUAAACACAUGCUAUAUGAUCCAUAGGUCUCAACUACACAUGCUUUCAUUAGAUUAGUCAUGUAUGUCAAAUGCUAGAAUACUUGUAAUGUAGUUAUUGACAACACUAGUUUUCAAUGUUUCUUGUGAAAAUCUCAUGUUAAGCCACCAAGUAUAGCAAAGUCACUUCAUUCACUAUACAUCAUGCUCUCACAUAUACAUAUUAGAACAUAAUAACAUGCUCACAAGUUCCUAUAUAGUUUAUCAAGUUUGUAUUUGAAACUUAAGGUCUCCAUUAGUAAAACUUAUUUAAGUAUGUAAGAGAAAUCCACAUUGUCUAAAUCAUGCUUUCAUACUCAUUUGUGCACGUACUCAAGUUAUUUACAUAGGCUAGAAAGAUCAGAAUUUGAAGGCAUAAUGUCCAUCGUGCUUUGUUUUGCUAAACUUCAAGUUCUCAAGUUCUCCUUUAUAAAAUCCUUUAAAAUCAAACUAGCAAAACUUAUUAUACAUGAAGCAAACUUAUGCCUUAUGUUAGACUUGUUUACGUAUAUAUCUAGGUUAUCUACAUAUGUUCACAAGAUCAGAAAGUGUAUUACUCCAUGUUCACAAAUUCUAGUUUUCCAAAUCUUUAAAUUUUCUUUGAAUGUUUGUACUAAAACAACUAACAUGGCUUCUAUGUACCUAGCAAUCUCAGUUCACAAGUUAAGGUUGUUUAUGUGCAUAUCCUAACCAAAGUAGCAUGCUCAUCAUCAUAUUGGACCAUUAAAGCAGUAUUUGAGAAAGACACCCCGCGCGGCCGCACGAUAUUAAGCAAUAGAAGUGGCGCGGCCGCGCCACUUCGUUCAAAAACAAAAAUAAAUGGCUCUGUUUCAGCAGAACCUUAGCAUAUGUAUAGCCCAUUCUAAAACCAGACCAACUGCAUUACUUCAAAGCAUACAUAUCAACUCAGACAACACAAUGACAUGCUAAUUCAUACUAAUUUAACAGAGAAAUCAUGUAAUUGCUAAGAAUUUGACAAAACUUAACUAAGGGCAAAAACAAAAGUUAUUCCUCCUUGAAGCUUAAUUGAACUCCCUCAGUUCUCUGAUUAUACUCCUUCAAUUUCUCAGCAACUCAACUCUCUAAUGCAACUUAUCAGAUAAUUUCAAGUAACAGAGACUGAGAAGAGGAUGGCACUAUAAAUAGAGAAUUGAUUGCCCAGUUCAUGGCCUUGCACCAUGGUUUGAUUAAAAGGAAAUUGGGAUGAAACAAUGGUUAUAUAGAAGUCGGCCAACUGCCCACCUUGUAGCCAUCAUCACAGCUCUCUAGCAUCAUCAUCCUCCUUUUGGUUUUUGCUGAGUUUUACGCAAUAGUAGGGGAAUAGGCCAUUAGCCUAAUACUCGGCUAAUGACUGAGACUAUCAAAUUGGGACAAGGCUUUAAAUCUCUGUAACUAUAUUACAUAAGGCUUAGUUUGGCUCUUUGAACUCCAAGAAUGUAAUUUCAAUGUGUUAAU